UACCUGCAGCUCGAGUGGUAACCGCUAUUAUUGGGCCUAAAGCGUCCGUAGCCGGUUUGGUAAAUAUCUGGGUAAAUCGUGAGGCUUAACUUCACGAAUUUCGGAUAGACUGCCAGACUUGGGAUCGGGGGAGGUCAGAGGUACUCCAGGGGUAGCGGUGAAAUGUUGUAAUCCUUGGAAGACCACCGGUAGCGAAGGCGUCUGACUAGAACGAGUCCGACGGUGAGGGACGAAGCCCUGGGGCGCAAACCGGAUUAGAUACCCGGGUAGUCCAGGGUGUAAACAAUGUGGGCUUUGUAUUGGAGGUCCCACGUGGGCGUCCAGUGCAGAAGAGAAGUUGUUAAGCCCACCGCCUGGGAAGUACGGUCGCAAGGCUGAAACUUAAAGGAAUUGGCGGGGGAGCACAGCAACGGGAGGAGCGUGCGGUUU
rnacentral:rRNA from 1 species